rnacentral:rRNA from 1 species
GCACAAUGGAGGAAACUCUGAUGCAGCAACGCCGCGUGGAGGAUGACGCAUUUCGGUGUGUAAACUCCUUUUAUAUAGGAAGAUAAUGACGGUACUAUAUGAAUAAGCACCGGCUAACUCCGUGCCAGCAGCCGCGGUAAUACGGAGGGUGCAAGCGUUACUCGGAAUCACUGGGCGUAAAGCGCAUGCAGGCGGUUUAUUAAGUUGGAAGUGAAAUCCUAUGGCUCAACCAUAGAACUGCUUCCAAAACUGAUAAACUAGAGUCUGGGAGGGGAAGAUGGAAUUAGUAGUGUAGGGGUAAAAUCCGUAGAGAUUACUAGGAAUACCAAAAGCGAAGGCGAUCUUCUGGAACAGUACUGACGCUGAGAUGCGAAAGCGUGGGGAGCAAACAGGAUUAGAUACCCUGGUAGUCCACGCAGUAAACGAUGAAUGUUAGUCGUUGGGACUCUAGUAGUUUCAGUGAUGCAGUUAACACAUUAAACAUUCCGCCUGGGGAGUACGGUCGCAAGAUUAAAACUCAAAGGAAUAGACGGGGACCCGCACAAGUGGUGGAGCAUGUGGUUUAAUUCGAAGAUACGCGAAGAACCUUACCUAGCCUUGACAUACUACAGAAUUUGACAGAGAUGUUGAAGUGCCUUCGGGAGCUGUAAUACAGGUGCUGCACGGCUGUCGUCAGCUCGUGUCGUGAGAUGUUGGGUUAAGUCCCGCAACGAGCGCAACCCUCGUCCUUAGUUACUAACGGUUCGGCCGAGGACUCUAAGGAGACUGCCUUCGUAAGGAGGAGGAAGGUGAGGACGACGUCAAGUCAUCAUGGCCCUUACGGCUAGGGCAACACACGUGCUACAAUGGUUAGGACAAUGAGAAGCGAUACCGCGAGGUGGAGCAAAUCUAUAAACCUAAUCUCAGUUCGGAUAGCAGUCUGCAACUCGACUGCUUGAAGCUGGAAUCACUAGUAAUCGUAAAUCAGCUAUGUUACGGUGAAUACGU